AAGACUAUACUUUCAGGGAUCAUUUCUAUAGU
rnacentral:ncRNA from 2 species